AGCUGCUUCACAAAACAUAAACAACUAGGCCUACACAUGUUGUUUAUUUGAAACGCGAAUACAAAUAUGCAAAGUCUAUUAAAAAGUCUUGACUUAAAAUAAAAGUUAUCUCUGCCAUUUCAAAGCUUUAGUAGGCCUAGUAUAUAUUUCUUCGCUAAAUUGCAGUUAGAUAUUGAUGCGUGUAUUUUUAAAUUAAAUUAAGCUAUUUACGUUAUUUAAGCCUAAAGUGAAAGCACUUAAAAUCGACAAAAACAUCAACAAAUAAAAUGACAUUCAGUCUCAUCAAUCUUAAACUUGUCGUUAAAUUCACACACUCGCUCCGUCUUUUCCCCCGCUGUCUGCGUGUAUCGAUCUCGGCGGAAUCGAUAAAUUACCAUGAAUAUUCCCUGAGCCGGUCGUGAGAAGAGUCAGACGGCAGAUGGAGAAGCAGAUACGGGGAGGACAGAAGGAUGAAAGAAGCCAAAAGAGGCCGAGACGAACCAUUCAAACAAGGGCAAUGAUGGGCAGACGUCCUUUCAGCUCAGCCAGCCGUCAUUAAUGCACCCUCAAAUUGUGAGGGAAAAAAGAAAAGCUGUUAUCGACAUUAACCAGAGGGAGGUAAAGGGAUCUCUUACCGGAGUCACCGGAGCGCAGAGGCAGCGGAGACUUGAGUCGCCAGGCGCUGAAAUCAGGAGCGGUUCUCUGAAACACCAACGGCACCGGCAAGGGAACAAACAUGAUCCGCUGUCGUCUGGGCUUUUCUUCUAUGGUCUCUUGUAUUUGGUGCUUGUCUUGAGUUUAUUUUUCUUUGGUUGCUUAUAUUGUCAAAUAGACUGUGUUUUGAGGUUGUUUAUUUUUGGUAAUAGUUAGCAUUUGGUUUAAAAUGUAUAACCUAAGUAAAUUUCUCAAGCUAUCUUUACAUUUUUGGUAUUGUGCCUCUAAGUCAUAACUUCUUCCUCAGGGAUACUCUAUCUCGGACUUACACACAGACGGAUAGCCGGGAUCUAUCAAGCGGUCUAAAUAUAGUCAAAAUGUAUAUUAAACGUGUUUUGUGGUCACUUGACGUUUGUUUUGUUGCUUGGCUGAAAAAUCCGUUAAACUAACCUACAAAUUAGAAUAACAGGACGUUUAAACCUACGCUGGCAAAUGUCGAACCGUUGGUUGAAACUGUGACUUUUUAAAAUUCAAAACUCACUUGUUGUCCUAACUGUCAUAACGUUUCUCGGGUUUUGCAUAUCCCGCGCGAGACCAGGUGUGCGGCCGGUAAACGUCACAACGGCCUUGCACGCGUCGCGAUCCGGUUCCACUUUGGUUUCGCUUUUUAAACAAAUCUCGAGUCAAAAUCGUGUUCCCUUUAGUACAAAAACUAUUUGGUUCAGUACAAUCAAGUCGCGGUUGCUGGCUUUAAAACGGUUUACAAAGGUGUGACAGGAUUAUUUGGUUUCUCUCUUUGGUUUCUAGCUCUCCUACUGUGUGGUUUCCCUCGCGCACAUUGCAUGCAUUUCAAGCAGCAUUUUAAUUUUUUUGUUGUAUAAAAUAUAAUAGAAUCGCUUAGUAUAUUUAAAUAAUCACGCACGUAUAAGGCUGCGCAGCGGCUCGAUACGCUCCCCCUUCGAUUCCACUCACGAGCCGGUAAUUAAAACGCAAUCAAUCGAUAGCCUAAAUAAAUUGAGGAGCAACACUGCUUGUGCA
ensembl:lncRNA